rnacentral:rRNA from 1 species
UACGGAGGGUGCAAGCGUUAUCCGGAUUUAUUGGGUUUAAAGGGUGCGUAGGCGGUCAUGUAAGUCAGUGCUGAAAUAUCCCGGCUUAACCGGGAGGGUGGCAUUGAUACUGUAUGACUUGAGUAAAGUUGAGGUUGGCGGAAUUGACGGUGUAGCGGUGAAAUGCUUAGAUAUCGUCAAGAACACCUAUUGCGAAGGCAGCUAACUAAGCUUUAACUGACGCUGAGGCACGAAAGUGUGGGGAUCAAACAGG